rnacentral:rRNA from 1 species
GGUAAGUGUUGUAGCAAUACAACACCAAGAGUGUCGUACGGGUGCGUAACACGUAUGCAACCUACCUAUAACAGGAGUAUAGCUCGGGGAAACUCGAAUUAACCCUCCAUAAGAUCAUAGAGUAGCAUUACUUAGUGAUUAAAACUGAGGUGGUUAUAGAUGGGCAUGCGUCUGAUUAGCUAGUUGGCGGGGUAACGGCCCACCAAGGCGAUGAUCAGUAGGGGAACUGAGAGGUUGAUCCCCCACACUGGCGCUGAGAUACGGGCCAGACUCCUACGGGAGGCAGCGGUAGGGAAUAUUGGUCAAUGGGUGAGAGCCUGAACCAGCCAUGCCGCGUGCAGGAAGAAGGCCUUCUGGGUUGUAAACUGCUUUUGCCAGGGGAUAAAACGGUCGUGCGC